rnacentral:rRNA from 1 species
GACGUAGGGUGCGAGCGUUGUCCGGAUUUAUUGGGCGUAAAGAGCUCGUAGGCGGCUCGUCGCGUCGACCGUGAAAACCCGCGGCUUAACCGCGGGCUUGCGGUUGAUACGGGCGGGCUAGAGUUCGGUAGGGGAGACUGGAAUUCCUGGUGUAGCGGUGAAAUGCGCAGAUAUCAGGAGGAACACCGGUGGCGAAGGCGGGUCUCUGGGCCGAUACUGACGCUGAGGUGCGAAAGCGUGGGGAGCAAACAGG